AAACAAAAAAACAAUGUAGGUUUAAAACAACAUCAGGGUGAGUAAAUGAUGACUGAAUUUGCAUUUUAGGUGAACUGUCCCUUUGUGUUCAAUUGCUCAUUAUUGACUGUGUUUACGUGUUUUGUGCAACACUAUGAUUUUGUUUAAAAUCAGUUGUUGAGUGUGAUGUGUUGGAUGUUCUGUGAUGAAGUGAUAACCAGCUCCAGCCUCCUGAAUGUCCUGUCUGUAUGGCCAUUGAUGUUUACACUCUUUUAUUUGUUAGAAAAAUAGACCAAAGGUGAAAGGUGCAGUCGAGGUCAACUUAGUUUCUGAUUUUGCACAUUGUGGGAUUCACUUACAGUAUGAAGAAUACCGAACAUAGCUGUACUGAUAAAUGUGAUCUUUGUAAUUAAAAUAGGAUUAAAAAAGAUGGAAACCAACUAAAAGAUAUUUUAAGAUUCUACAUUUGUAGAUCAUAUUUUGUACAUUUCCUCUGACGCAUGUUUACCUGUGCUUGGGUAUGUGCUUUUGAGUUACAAUUUAAACCAUAUACAUAUGUAUCAGUGUAGAAAAUUAUAUUAACCUCAAAAUUGCCUGUGUAGUGACUUUUUAAAAAAAAGAAAAACAAUUUUUAUUAUGAAACAUUGUUUGAGUGAUGUUCUGUAUUCAUGAGUUCAGAUGAAACUCUGAGCCAGACAGUAUCUGAGCUGUUCAGUGUCACAAUCAUAUCAUAUCAGUGGAUUCAUUCAGAAAAUGAGCCUUGAUAUUGAGAACUGAGUGUUAUUCAUGUGGCCUAAACGUAAGACUCAAAGAGCCUUUCAAAUACUUUACUGUUGAUGUUCAUCAUCAUUUUCAGCUUAAAAUAAAAAAUCUUGUGUAAAAUAUAUAGACUGUUCUUUUUAGUUAUUUUAAAAGUUUUUUAAAUGUUUUUUUGUUGAGGGGAGUUGGUAAGCAAAAGACAAGAAACAUUGAAGGGUGGAUCACACAAAUGUCAUAUUUUACCCUAAAUUCACAAGAAAAACAAGACAGUUGAAGGACAUUACCAUCACAAACUCACAUUAUUGUAAUGUUAAAGAAAUCUCAUUCUCUUUAUUAUAAGGCGCUAGUUAAAAUGUUUGUUUAACAAUUUAAUAACGUACAUAUUGUGAAAUUACUGCAUAAUAAAUAAAUGUGUAAAAAUGGCUUCUUUCC
ensembl:lncRNA